UGAAGUGUAGCUCAGUGGUAGAGCACUUGCUCAGCGUGUGGGUGGUCCUGCGUUUGAUCCCCAGCACUACAA
rnacentral:tRNA from 1 species